AUUAAAUAUGCAUUGGAAAGUUGUUGAAUAAAAAUGCCCAUAUGAUAUUCUGAUAUUUUGAACGUCAUAAUUUGAUUAGGAUAUCAUAAUAUGCUACAGGAUGUUAUAAUUUUUUCGAAAGAGAAUGGGUAUUUUCAUCAUUCAAAAUUUCGAACGAAAAAAUAAAAAUAAAGAUAUUAAAUGCGCAUUAAAAAAUGAUGGCUACGUGGAUCAAUCGGAUAAAGUGAUGUACUUUAUGUCGGAUUUUUUACACUAUUCGUGGUGCUCAAAGAAUUUUUCUUAUUGUGAAAGAGAGCUUUAUGAAUAAUUAGAAGGGUAAACUUUUUGGUGUUGUAGUUGCUAUUUUUUUUUUGGCUGUGUUCGCCGAGGGUGGUCAAUACUGUGACUUCGAACUUUGAACUGUUUUGAAUAGGCUUGACUAACAGGAAGUUUUUUUGUUUUGUAAUGAAAUAAUUAGGAAGCUGAUACAGAUUAUUUUGUUUUCCAUCACAAGUCAGAGAUUGAUGUGGGAUUUUUCCCCCUUUCGAUGAAAACGUGGGAUAUAUAGCUACUUGUAUUCAUACAGUUGUACGACUGACUUGCAAGUUAGGAAUUUUCACAUUUGUCUGUUAUUUUUCCUCUGCAUUUUUUCUGUUGAUUUUUGUGUUCCUUCGCUGAUUUCAGCGCGGUUCUUUUUCUGAUUUUAAACAUUGUUCAUAUAAAUAGGCUUGACAUCAUUGGCAUCUUUGCCAUCAGAAAGCCAGAGCUUCGUCCCUAUACCAGAUGGAUUGCCCUUCUACCUCCCGCGAUUCGGCUGAAACAAUAAUAUUUUUGACCGAAAUAUGCCAAACAAAGUUCUCAACUAGUUUGGGCUUAGGUCGAAUAUCAUCGAUCUACAGUUGCAAGAGCGACAGUUUCACAUCUGGAGCUCAUUAACUGGAGGUUUAUAGAUCUUUUAAAUGGUCACUAAUCCAAAACAAUUCGUUAAAGCGUUAGUCAUCCCAGAAGACGCAACUUACACGGCGUGAUACCGGUUGAUGUCCAAAUGGACUGGGUCCUGAUUAGCAGCUUGAUGUUUGAUUAUUACAUCACCAACGGAAACUUGAAAGGAUACCUUAUCAGCCACCCGCAUGAAAGCAGCAGAUCGUCUGACGUCGUCGUCACUUGAACAUGUCCUUUAUGGUCUGAAACCGGGCUCCUUUAUCUGAGAAUUUAGUGCCAG